AGGGAUGUGGCUCAGUGGAAGAGCACUUGCCUAGCAUGUGUGAGGCACUGGGUUUGAUUCUCAGCAUCACAU
rnacentral:tRNA from 1 species